GCCCCGGUAGCUCAACUGGAUAGAGCGUCUGCCUUCUAAGCAGAAUGUUAUGGGUUCAAGUCCCGUCCGGGGUACCA
rnacentral:tRNA from 1 species